AGCUUCGGAGGAUUUUGUGCAGUUACUUACUUGAGUUUUGCUCCCAAAGGACUCAAACAUGCUCUUAUAACUGGCGGACUCCCUCCAAUUGGAAAAGGAUGCACAGCUGAUGCUGUUUACAAGGCAGGCUUUGAGCAGCUUGUUCAUCAGAAUGAAAAAUAUUACAAGAGGUUUCCGCAGGAUAUUGAAAUUGUUCGUGAUGUCGUAAAUUACCUGGCAGAAUCUGAAGGAGGAGGGGUGCCUCUUCCAUCUGGCGGCAUCUUAACACCUCGAGGACUACAGCUUCUUGGUCUCUCGGGUCUAGGAUCUAGUACCGGUUUUGAACGAUUGCAUUACCUGUUUGAGAGAGCCUGGGAUCCUGUAAUAGUUCAAGGAGCAAAAAGGAGAAUCAGUGACUACUUCUUGAACGCUUAUGAGAGAUGGAUAGCAUUUGAUGCAAAUCCUUUAUAUGCUCUUUUGCAUGAAAGCAUAUAUUGCCAGGGUGCGUCGUCAAUGUGGUCUGCUCACAGAAUUAGGGCUGAAAAUGACAACAAAUUCAACGCAAUUGAGGCAGCAAAAAACAGCCGCCCCGUACUUUUUACUGGAGAGAUGAUAUUCCCAUGGUUGUUUGAUGAAGUCCAUGCCUUGAGGCCAUUCAAAGAUGCGGCCCAGCUAUUAGCAGAGAAGAAGGAUUGGCCUUCAUUAUAUGAUAUUGCUGCAUUAGAGGAUAACAAGGUACCAGUUGGAGCUGCUGUUUACUACGAAGACAUGUAUGUUAACUUUAAGCUAUCUAUGGAGACUGCUUCUCAGAUAGCAGGAAUCAGGCUUUGGAUUACUAAUGAGUACAUGCACUCUGGUCUGAGAGACGCCGGAAGUAAAGUUUUGGAUCAUUUGCUUGCUAUGUUAAAUGGAAAGAAGCCCCUGUUUUAACUCUAUUGGCCGCCAUCCACGCUUUCUCUGCAGCGUCGAAGGCUUUAGAUAAUGCUGAUGAAUUUAUUGAACACAUUUCUGAGCUUUCUUCAGUUGUUGCAAGACAAGAUGGCGCCAGAAAGGUUCUUUGAGGUUGUUGAUUGUAGCCUGCCGGGGCAUUUGUUUUCACUGAUGUAACUGGAACAGAAGCAUGCACAAGUAUCCUAGGCUUUGGCAUUUGAAUUUUAUCCAAUGUCGCAGCGCUCAGGCUGUAUUUACUUU